rnacentral:rRNA from 1 species
GUCUACGGCCAUGCCACCCUGAACAAGCCCGAUCUCAUCUGAUCUCAGAAGCUAAGCAGGGUUGGGCCUGGUUAGUACCUGGAUGGGAAGACAAGGUGCUGUAGCCA